UCGAGCGAAGCGUAUUAGCGGAAGUUUUCGGAUGGAAGCGGAUAUGACUUAGCGGCGGACGGGUGAGUAACGCGUGGAUAACCUGCCUCAUACAGGGGGAUAACAGUUAGAAAUGACUGCUAAUACCGCAUAAGCGCACAGGACCACAUGGUCCGGUGUGAAAAACUCCGGUGGUAUGGGAUGGAUCCGCGUCUGAUUAGCUGGUUGGUGAGGUAACGGCCCACCAAGGCGACGAUCAGUAGCCGACCUGAGAGGGUGGCCGGCCACAUUGGGACUGAGACACGGCCCAAACUCCUACGGGAGGCAGCAGUGGGGAAUAUUGCACAAUGGGGGAAACCCUGAUGCAGCAACGCCGCGUGAGUGAAGAAGUAUUUCGGUAUGUAAAGCUCUAUCAGCAGGGAAGAAGAAAGACGGUACCUGACUAAGAAGCCCCGGCUAACUACGUGCCAGCAGCCGCGGUAAUACGUAGGGGGCAAGCGUUAUCCGGAUUUACUGGGUGUAAAGGGAGCGUAGACGGCUGUGCAAGUCUGAAGUGAAAGCCCGUGGCUCAACCGCGGAACUGCUUUGGGAACUGUAUAGCUUGAGUACUGGAGAGGCAGGCGGAAUUCCUAGUGUAGCGGUGAAAUGCGUAGAUAUUAGGAGGAACACCAGUGGCGAAGGCGGCCUGCUGGACAGAAACUGACGUUGAGGCUCGAAAGCGUGGGGAGCAAACAGGAUUAGAUACCCUGGUAGUCCACGCGGUAAGCG
rnacentral:rRNA from 1 species